GGGCACUGUCGCCUUAUGUGGGUACAGCCUACUCCUCAAGCGUCCCACCUAGAGCUUGUUAUGUAUUAGGAGACAUGCAAAUAGGGUCCUCCCUCUACUAAUGAAAACCAACUGAACCCUGACCCUGCAGCUCUGAGACAGGAGCCUUAGCCCUGGAUUCCAAGAACUUCCACUUUGGGAUCAGCUCUGAACACAGAGGACCAUGGAGUUGGGGCUGAGCUGGGUUUUCCUUGUUGCUAUUUUAAAAGGUGUCCAGUGUGAGGUGCAGCUGGUGGAGUCUGGGGGAGGCUUGGUCCAGCCUGGGGGGUCCCUGAGACUCUCCUGUGCAGCCUCUGGAUUCACCUUUGGUGAUUAUGGCAUGCACUGGGUCCGCCAGGCUCCGGGAAAGGGACUGGAGUGGGUCUCAUCCAUUAGUAACACUGGUAAAACCGUAUACUACGCUGACUCCGUGAAGGGCCGAUUCACCAUCUCCAGAGACAACGCCAAGAACUCGCUGUCUCUGCAAAUGAGCAGCCUGAGAGCCGAGGACACGGCCGUGUAUUACUGUACUAGAGACACAGUGAGGCGAGGUCAGUGUGAGCCCAGACACAAACCCCCCUGCAGGGGUCCCCGUGACCACCAGGGGGCGCCCGGGACACAAACCCCCCCCGCAGGGGUCCCCGUGACCACCAGGGGGCGCCCGGACACUGAGCUCGGGGCUGUCUCCGGGCCGGAGCCGGUGCUGCUAAGGCCUGGCUUCCUGUCAUGGUCUGCGGCUGCCUCAUUGUCAAAUUUCCCCAGGGAACGUCUCCAGAUCUGUACUAACAUUUCAUGUCUCUGA